UGAGCAACCUGCCCUUGACUCCGGAAUAACAGCUGGAAACAGCUGCUAAUAUCGGAUACGACCUCCGAUGGCAUCAUCUGGAGGUGGAAAGCUCCGGCGGCCAAGGAUGGGCCCGCGGCCUAUCAGCUUGUUGGUGAGGUAACGGCUCACCAAGGCUUCGACGGGUAGCCGGCCUGAGAGGGCGACCGGCCACACUGGGACUGAGAUACGGCCCAGACUCCUAGGAAGG
rnacentral:rRNA from 1 species